CAGCACAGAGCCCGACGUGGGGCCUGACCCCACGAACUGUGAGAUCGUGCCCUGAGCCGAAGCCGGACGCCCAACCUACCGAGCCACCCAGGCGUCCCAAGAGAUGCCCAUUUCUAACAAGUUUGUGAAGAACAAAAUGCUGGCCCCGGGGAGCCAAGGCAGAGUAAACAGUCCUGUCCAGAAGGCAUGGAAGGGCAUCUGGCCACGGCCUUGAGGACCCCGGGCACAAGUUCUGAGACACCCUGAGGCCUGCAGACAAGCCCUUCCUCCUGGAGCUGGAGGAAGAUGGCUCAGCUCUAGAGCCAGAAGAGUACUUGAGGGCCUGGCAGAGGACACAGUGCUCGGCGAUGAAGUAAACGCUUUAGAUCACCUGGGGACAUCGUGGCAGAAUGGGAGCCAGAACCAAGGAUCUGACUCCUCUUUGGACGUGAGUUGAGACUCUUACAAGUUCUGCCUCGAAGAGGGCUGGCUUCCCAUGGUAAGAUAAAAGAAUCCUCUCUUGGUUUGGAAUCAGCUUUCCCAGUUUUGCUCCACCCACUCCAUUCCGCAGGUCUCCCCUCCCACCCCCUCCUCCCUUUCACACAUCUCCAUAGUGACGGUUUUCAUCUCUCAUUAGGGAUGCCCCUGGUACAGUGUGAGAUGAGGCACAGCUCGCUUCAGGGUUGAGCUGGUGUUUUUCCGGAGACGAACUGUCAUCUGUGUGUGUAUCCACCUCUGGCAGGGACACACCCUGGUGUAAUCUAACCUCCCUGCUCUGGUUGUAUAUCUGGAGAGUCUGCUAUUGCCUUAGAGUCUGUGAGUCCUUGAGGGCAAGGGACAAGGACUCAUUACUCUAAAUCUCCAGGCAGCUAAUAAGGUGUUACCCGCUGUGGACAUUUGCUAGAUGGUUGGCAUUUACUUCUCUUCUUCUCAAGGUUCCAUCAUCCAGGGAGAUAGUUUCACCUGUCGUUUCCCUUCCAAGCUCAGCCUCGGGAGAUAAGGCUUCAGAAGGGAAGUGUGUCUUCCCACAUACGGCUCUGUUUUAAACUUAAUGUGUUUAUUUGAGUACCUAGAUACCAUGGUGAUCGGUGCUGUAGGAAGAGAGAGAAAGAGCAGGGAGGCGGAACAGAGAGAGGGAGCAGCCCAAACACCAGGGGGCUGGAAGCAAUGUUUUGUGACACCGCUGUUUAUUUUGAGCCGGCGUUAUUUAUCACGUCCUCCGUGCACACAUCUCUCCCCUGGGAGCGUACACGCUGCUUCUUUCUUGGGCACUUAUGUUCUCUGGGCCUCGAGAGGAGGAGACACGUUGCCUUUGGCAUGUAAAGGUACACAUCACUGUCACCGCUUCUGAUGUUUGUAUGUCAUUGGACCCUGUUCGGUGCACGUUCAUGCACCCUACUUCCCUCCUGUAAGCCUGUGUCAGGCCAGAUUGGAUUCACCCUAUUUUUUGAUGAAUUUGAGAUUCAGAGACUAACUUGUCCAAAGGCACUCGACAAGUGAGUGCUCAGAGCUAAAGGCCACCUGUUUCCUAGAGCAAAGCCCCUUAUGCUACGAUCGGGCUGUGCAGCGGUGAGAAUUCAUGGCAGGCGGGACAGACCUGGUGCAUUUGGGGCAGGGUCCAGGCUGGAGUGAGCUGCCUGGAGUGUGGUCCAAGUCACAGAGAAACAGCUAGAGCUUCUGCAUGGAGCCCACAAAAAAAUGGGGCAUUGGCUGCAGAAGGAAUUUUGCGGAUUUUAUGUCUUGAGACAAAAGAAAGUGUAAAGUGUAAAUGCACCCUGUGUCCAGACUGACAGCCUUUGCAAAGAGCUCCCUGCAGCACAAGUGAACUUUGGUGUUUCCGCUUAUCUGCCUGGACUAACCCAAACCUGGUCCCGAGACUGGUGCAUGGCUGCUGGCAUCCUUCCUCAAGGCAGACUAAGAUGAAUGAGACCCAAGAUA